AACCCAUGAUGGGGGCAUAUUCACAAAAGUUUCUUAAACCUUUUAUAAGCUUCAAACAAUGUUUUUGAAUCUUCUUGCCUGAAGGCUGAAAUUUCCUACUUGAGUCU